rfam:Chlorocebus sabaeus isolate 1994-021 chromosome 18, whole genome shotgun sequence.
GGAUGUGAGGGCAGUCUGGCUGCAACAUCUGUCAGCCUAUUGUUUGCUAGGGUUGAUUUGGCACAUCUGGCUGGCUAGGCGGGUGUCCACUUCCUCUCUCACCAGUCCAUGUGUGUCCCUGCUGAAGCUACGUGCUCAGUCAAAGAGCAUGACCGUUCCUGAUAGAGGAGGGUCAGUCUUUGGUCAAGAGUAUACAAAUAGCUGCAUUCCCCUGCAGCUACUCCAAACAAGCUCUCGUUAGUUGUAUGCCUUGAAUAUUAAUAAGAUCCCGAGGUCAGGUACAACUUUGUCUUCUGU